rnacentral:tRNA from 1 species
AGGCCUCUUACUUUUAAAGGAUAAGAGUAAUCCGCUGGUC